rnacentral:tRNA from 1 species
AGAUGGCUUCCAACCAUCUAGCCCUGGUUUAAAUCCGGGAGAAAAUA